rnacentral:rRNA from 1 species
GACAGAGGGUGCAAGCGUUGCUCGGAAUUACUGGGCGUAAAGCGCGUGUAGGCGGUUUCGCAAGUCAGGUGUGAAAGCCCAGGGCUCAACCCUGGAAGUGCACAUGAUACUACGGAGCUUGAGUACUGAAGAGGAGAGCGGAAUUCCCGGUGUAGAGGUGAAAUUCGUAGAUAUCGGGAGGAACACCAGUGGCGAAGGCGGCUCUCUGGGCAGAUACUGACGCUGAGACGCGAAAGCGUGGGUAGCAAACAGG